rnacentral:rRNA from 1 species
CCUACGGGAGGCAGCAGUGAGGAAUAUUGGUCAAUGGACGCAAGUCAGAACCAGCCAUGCCGCGUGCAGGAAGACGGCUCUAUGAGUUGUAAACUGCUUUUGUACGAGGGUAAACGCAGAUACGCGUAUCUGUCUGAAAGUAUCGUACGAUUAAGGAUCGGCUAACUCCGUGCCAGCAGCCGCGGUAAUACGGAGGAUUCAAGCGUUAUCCGGAUUUAUUGGGGUUAAAGGGUGCGUAGGCGGUCGGAUAAGUUAGAGGUGAAAGCCCGAGGCGCAACUUCGGAAUUGCCUCUGAUACUGUUCGGCUUGAGAGUAGUGGAGGUAGGCGGAAUGUAUGGUGUAGCGGUGAAAUGCUUAGAGAUCAUACAGAACACCGAUUGCGAAGGCAGCUUACCAAGCUACUUCUGACGUUGAGGCACGAAAGCGUGGGGAGCAAACAGGAUUAGAUACCCGGGUAGUC